CCUGUUUAGCUCAACUGGUAGAGCAUGGCAUUACCCACUGCCAGGGUUAGGGGUUCGAUUCCCACUAUAGGUCUCCA